rnacentral:rRNA from 1 species
AUUGAACGCUGGCGGCAGGCCUAACACAUGCAAGUCGAGCGAGCGGCGGACGGGUGAGUAAUGUAUGGGGAUCUGCCCGAUAGAGGGGGAUAACUACUGGAAACGGUAGCUAAUACCGCAUACUAUCAGAUGUGCCCAUAUGGGAUUAGCUAGUAGGUGGGGUAAUGGCUCACCUAGGCGACGAUCCCUAGCUGGUCUGAGAGGAUGACCAGCCACACUGGGACUGAGACACGGCCCAGACUCCUACGGGAGGCAGCAGUGGGGAAUAUUGCACAAUGGGCGCAAGCCUGAUGCAGCCAUGCCGCGUGUAUGAAGAAGGCCUUCGGGUUGUAAAGCACUUUCAGCGGGGAGGCGUUACCCGCAGAAGAAGCACCGGCUAACUCCGUGCCAGCAGCCGCGGUAAUAC